CAGUCCACGCCGUAAACGAUGAGUGCUAAGUGUUGGAGGGUUUCCGCCCUUCAUUGCCGCAGCUAAUGUGUUAAGUACCCCGCCUGGGGAGUACGCUCGCAAGGGUAAAACUCAAAGGAAUUGACGGGGGAUCACACAAGCAGUGGAGCAUGUUGUUUAAUUCGAAGCAACGCGAAGAACCUUACCAGGCCUUGACAUGCAUGGAUUAGCUUCCUGAAAGGGAAGUGACGCCUCUUCGGAGGUGGAACAUGUGCAGGUGUUGCAUGGCUGUCGUCAGCUCGUGCCGUGAGGUGUUGGGUUAAGUCCCGUAACGAGCGAAACCCUUAUUGUUAGUUGCCAGCGGGUUAUGCCGGGGACUCUAGCGAGACUGCCGUUGUCAAACGGAGGAAGGUGGGGACGACGUCAAGUCAUCAUGGCCCUUAUGGCCUGGGCUACAAACGUGCUACAAUGGUCCGUACAAAGGGUUCCGAAGCCGCGAGGUGUAGGCAAUCCCAUCAAAGCGGGCCCCAGUUCGGAUUGC
rnacentral:rRNA from 1 species